GGGACCCUGGUCCCAGCCGGCAAAGAUGGCCUCUGCUUGCACGCUAUCACUGAGGAGGAGCUUGCGCCCCAUUAGGUAGUUGGUGAGGUAACGGCUCACCAGCCUACGAUGGGUAGCCGGCCUGAGAGGGUGGCCGGCCACACUGGCACGAGACACGGGCCAGACUCCUACGGGAGGCAGCAGUGAGGAAUUUUGGGCAUGGGCGAAAGCCUGACCCAGCGACGCCGCGUGGGUGAUGAAGGCCUUCGGUCGUAAAACCCUGUGAGAUGGGAAGAAGCCGUUUCGUGCUAAUACCAGGCGCGGUGACAGUACCAUCAGAGGAAGCCCCGGCUAACUACGUGCCCGCGGUAAAACGUAA
rnacentral:rRNA from 1 species